GGGGGAUAACGGCUGGAAACGGUCGCUAAUACCGCAUGACGUGUUCGGAUGGCAUCAUCUGAACAUCAAAGAUUUAUCGCUGAAAGAUGGGCUCGCGUCUGAUUAGAUAGUUGGUGGGGUAACGGCCUACCAAGUCGACGAUCAGUAGCCGGACUGAGAGGUUGAACGGCCACAUUGGGACUGAGAUACGGCCCAGACUCCUACGGGAGGCAGCAGUGGGGAAUAUUGCACAAUGGGGGAAACCCUGAUGCAGCAACGCCGCGUGAAGGAUGACGGUUUUCGGAUUGUAAACUUCUUUUCUUAGUGACGAAGAAAGUGACGGUAGCUAAGGAAUAAGCAUCGGCUAACUACGUGCCAGCAGCCGCGGUAAUACGUAGGAUGCAAGCGUUAUCCGGAUUUACUGGGUGUAAAGGGAGCGCAGGCGGGACUGCAAGUUGGAUGUGAAAUACCGUGGCUUAACCACGGAACUGCAUCCAAAACUGUAGUUCUUGAGUGAAGUAGAGGCAAGCGGAAUUCCGAGUGUAGCGGUGAAAUGCGUAGAUAUUCGGAGGAACACCAGUGGCGAAGGCGGCUUGCUGGGCUUUAACUGACGCUGAGGCUCGAAAGUGUGGGGAGCAAACAGGAUUAGAUACCCUGGUAGUCCACACUGUAAACGAUGAUAGCUAGGUGUGGGGGGUCUGACCCCUUCCGUGCCGGAGUUAACGCAAUAAGCUAUCCACCUGGGGAGUA
rnacentral:rRNA from 1 species